rnacentral:rRNA from 1 species
AUUGAACGCUGGCGGCAGGCCUAACACAUGCAAGUCGAGCGCGCGGCGGACGGGUGAGUAAUGUCUGUGAAACUGCCUGCGGGAGGGGGAUAACUACUGGAAACGGUAGCUAAUACCCCAUACCAUCAGAUGUGCCCCGAUGGGAUUAGCUGGAAGGUGGGGUAACGGCUCACCUAGGCGACGAUCCCUAGCUGGUCUGAGAGGAUGACCAGCCACACUGGAACUGAGACACGGUCCAGACUCCUACGGGAGGCAGCAGGGGGGAAUAUUGCACAAUGGGCGCAAGCCUGAUGCAGCCAUGCCGCGUGUGUGAAGAAGGCCUUCGGGUUGUAAAGCACUUUCAGCGGGGAGGCGUUACCCGCAGAAGAAGCACCGGCUAACUCCGUGCCAGCAGCCGCGGUAAUAC